rnacentral:rRNA from 1 species
UGGGGAAUAUUGGUCAAUGGGCGGGAGCCUGAACCAGCCAAGCCGCGUGAGGGAAGAAGGCCCUAUGGGUCGUAAACCUCUUUUGUCAGGGAACAAAAGCGAGUAUGUAUACUAGUCUGAGUGUACCUGAAGAAAAAGCAUCGGCUAACUCCGUGCCAGCAGCCGCGGUAAUACGGAGGAUGCGAGCGUUAUCCGGAUUUAUUGGGUUUAAAGGGUGCGUAGGCGGCGAUGCAAGUCAGCGGUAAAAGCCCGGGGCUCAACCCCGGCGAGCCGUUGAAACUGCGGUGCUAGAGAAGGCGAGAGGUACGCGGAAUGCGCAGUGUAGCGGUGAAAUGCUUAGAUAUUGCGCAGAACUCCGAUUGCGAAGGCAGCGUACUGGCGCCUGACUGACGCUGAGGCACGAAAGCGUGGGGAUCGAACAGGAUUAGAUACC